rnacentral:rRNA from 1 species
AUUGAACGCUGGCGGCAGGCAUAACACAUGCAAGUCGAGCGAGCGGCGGACGGGUGAGUAACGUCUGGGAAACUGCCUGAUGGAGGGGGAUAAAUACCGGAAACGGUAGUUAAUACCGCAUACCAUCAGAUGUGCCCAGAUGGGAUUAGCCAGUGGGUGGGGUAAUGGCUCACCUAGGCGACGAUCCCUAGCUGGUCUGAGAGGAUGACCAGCCACCCUGGAACUGAGACACGGCCCAGACUCCUACGGGAGGCAGCAGUGGGGAAUAUUGCACAAUGGGCGCAAGCCUGAUACAGCCAUGCCGCGUGUAUGAAGAAGGCCUUCGGGUUGUAAAGUACUUUCAGCGAGGAGGCGUUACCCGCAGAAGAAGCACCGGCUAACUCCGUGCCAGCAGCCGCGGUAAUUC